rnacentral:rRNA from 1 species
AACGUAGGGGACAAGCGUUAUCCGGAUUUACUGGGCGUAAAGCGCCCGUAGGCGGCCUGACAAGUUGGACGUGAAAGCUCCUGGCUUAACUGGGAGAGGCCGUUCAAAACUGUCAAGCUAGAGUCUGGAAGAGGAGAGCGGAAUUCCCGGUGUAGUGGUGGAAUGCGUAGAGAUCGGGGAGGAACACCAGUGGCGAAAAGCGGCUCUCUGGGGGACCACCUGACGCUGAGGCGCGAAAAGCGUGGGGGAGCGAACCGG